AUUGAACGCUGGCGGCAUGCCUUACACAUGCAAGUCGAACGGUAACAGGUCUUCGGAUGCUGACGAGUGGCGAACGGGUGAGUAAUACAUCGUAACGUGCCUAGUAGUGGGGGAUAACUACUCGAAAGAGUGGCUAAUACCGCAUGAGAUCUACGGAUGAGAGCAGGGGAUCGCAAGACCUUGUGCUACUAGAGCGGCCGAUGGCAGAUUAGGGAGUUGGUGGGAUAAAAGCUUACCAAGCCGACGAUCUGUAGCUGGUCCGAGAGGACGAUCAGCCACACUGGGACUGAGACACGGCCCAGACUCCUACGGGAGGCAGCAGGGGGAAAUUUUGGACAAUGGGCGCAAGCCUGAUCCAGCAAUGCUGCGUGCAGGAUGAAGGCCUUCGGGUUGUAAACUGCUUUUGUACGGAACGAAAAGCCCCGGGUUAAUACCCUGGGGUCAUGACGGUACCGUAAGAAUAAGCACCGGCUAACUACGUGCCAGCCGCCGUAACAC
rnacentral:rRNA from 1 species